rnacentral:rRNA from 1 species
CAAUAGCGUAUAUUAAAGUUGUUGCGGUUAAAAAGCUCGUAGUUGGAUUUCUGCCGAGGACGACCGGUCCGCCCUCCGGGUGAGUAUCUGGCUCGGCCUGGGCAUCUUCUUGGAGAACGUAGCUGCACUUGGCUGUGUGGUGCGGUAUUCAGGACUUUUACUUUGAGGAAAUUAGAGUGUUUCAAGCAGGCAUACGCCUUGAAUACAUUAGCAUGGAAUAAUAAGAUAGGACCUCGGUUCUAUUUUGUUGGUUUCUAGAUCUGAGGUAAUGAUUAAUAGGGAUAGUUGGGGGCAUUCGUAUUUAACUGUCAGAGGUGAAAUUCUUGGAUUUGUUAAAGACGGGCUACUGCGAAAGCAUUUGCCAAGGAUGUUUUCAUUGA